GCGAUAGACAAAGGCAUUCUUUACGUCCCAUGUACACUUAUGCUUAGGAUCAAACUCAAGUAAGACACGUUUCCAAGUAAAUAUGCAUAGGACCAGGGUAUAAGAAGCACAGGAAUGAAUGGAUAAUAGGGGACAUUGUCAAAAUAGAAUGACGUCAACCCAGCUUUCUUCUCUUUCCAGAACUGGCCUACCAGAUGCCUCCAGAAAGACCAGAAGAAGGGCAUGAAGACCACAAUAUUCCUCAAUUAUUAUUAUUUUGUCCCCAAAAGUAUAUUGUGGCCCAGUGGUAGAGCACCUGCUUUUUGUGCAGAAGGCUCCGGGUUCAAUCCUCAGCAUCUUCAGGUAGGGCGAGGAGACCCAUCUGAAGUCCUGGAGAGCUGCGGCCAGUUAUUGUUGAAAAUACUGAGCUAGAUCAGAGAUCAAUGGUCCAACUCCCUACAAGGCAGCUUCCUAUGUUCCCAUGUCUCUGAACUUGAAGGUUUUCUAACAGCUUUGCUCUCCUAGCACACUUAUUUGGGAAUCAGUCCAGCUCCCAGGAGCUCAAGAGACCCUGCUUCUUGAGACCGUCGCUGGACCUUGCCUCAUGGGUGGACCGGCGCUGCCAUUACUUCUGAACGAGGCAACCCGGGCUUCAUUUAUCUAUACAUUUUAUUUUGUUUUUAAAGACCGCCAUUUGAGGGCAAAAGCUGCCUUGAUUUAUAUGUUGCUUUCCCACAGCUGGUGCCAAAGCAACUUCCAUAGCAGCCAUUUGACGAUUAUUUAAAUGCAACCUCACAUUUGAAACGCGACGUUCUGGAUUUUUCUGACCCAUUUGCAAUCUCCCUUUCUUUGCAGCAAGCUGUGUGUGUAUGUUUGAAUGUUUGUGCACACCUGUAACUCAGUACUGCGGAACACUUUAUGCAUCUGAGGAAGUGAGCUGUAGCCUACAAAAGCUGACACCCUAAUAAACUUCCAUUACCCUUUUAUGAUGUCACCAACAAACACUCUGCUUUUGCUGCAACAGCCAGGAGCGACACAACACACCCUUCUGAAAAAUACCUUAACAUUUACGUAAUUUAAACACCCUAUGUUGUUGUUGUUUAGUUGUUUAGUUGUGUCCGACUCUUCGUGACCCCAUGGACCAGAGCACGCCAGGCCCUCCUGUCUUCCACUGCCUCCCAGAGAGCCAGUGUGGUGUAGUGGUUAAGAGCGGUAGAUUCGUAAUCUGGGGACCCGGGUUCGCGUCUCCGCUCCUCCACAUGCAGCUGCUGGGUGACCUUGGGCCAGUCACACUUCUUUGAAGUCUCUCAGCCCCACUCACCUCAGAGUGUUUG